rnacentral:rRNA from 1 species
UACAUAGGGGGCAAGCGUUGUUCGGAAUUACUGGGCGUAAAGGGCGCGUAGGCGGCCUUCUAAGUCGAACGUGAAAUCCCCGGGCUCAACCCGGGAACUGCGUCCGAGACUGGAAGGCUCGAAUCCGGGAGAGGGAUGUGGAAUUCCAGGUGUAGCGGUGAAAUGCGUAGAUAUCUGGAGGAACAUCGGUGGCGAAGGCGGCAUCCUGGACCGGUAUUGACGCUGAGGCGCGAAAGCCAGGGGAGCAAACGGG